AGCGAACGCUGGCGGCAGGCUUAACACAUGCAAGUCGAGCGGGCAUCUUCGGAUGUCAGCGGCAGACGGGUGAGUAACCCGUGGGAACGUACCCUUCGGUUCGGAACAACUCUGGGAAACUGGAGCUAAUACCGGAUACGCCCGUAUGGGGAAAGGUUUACUGCCGAAGGAUCGGCCCGCGUCUGAUUAGCUAGUUGGUGGGGUAACGGCCUACCAAGGCGACGAUCAGUAGCUGGUCUGAGAGGAUGAUCAGCCACACUGGGACUGAGACACGGCCCAGACUCCUACGGGAGGCAGCAGUGGGGAAUAUUGGACAAUGGGCGCAAGCCUGAUCCAGCCAUGCCGCGUGAGUGAUGAAGGCCUUAGGGUUGUAAAGCUCUUUUGUCCGGGACGAUAAUGACAGUACCGGAAGAAUAAGCCCCGGCUAACUUCGUG
rnacentral:rRNA from 1 species